UUCAUAAUGUUUUGUUGAUUAACUUAUUAAGUACAAGGAUCCUUUGGUUCUUACUUGUAGAAAUAGUUCAGUCUGUAGGUUUCCCAUCUUGGGACUUUCAUUCAGUAGUCUUGCUGUAAUUUUUAUUUGAUUUACAUGUAGAUUAAUUGGGCAGACAGUUUUAUUAACUUGCUGAUUCUUUUUCAUGUGACAAUAUAGAAUUGUGGGUUAUCUAGCAUAUCCAUUUGUCUAUUGUCCAUUCAUAACCUUAAUUGGUUGGCAGAUUGAGAAAAAAAUAUCAGAAGUUUUUAAGAGCUGUAUCUGAAAUUCACCAUGUGGUGAACAUCUUCCCAUUACAAAAUAUUUUUGUAUUGCAGAUCCAUCCAAAAUUUGGGGUUCUACAAACAUAUACUGAAAUUAUCAGGGGUCUGGCAUUGUACAGCUGCGUAACUGAAGAUACAUUUUAUAUAUGCAUCGUCAGUGUGUCCAUUCCAAUUUGAUGUUGAAUUGGUAUGUUAACUUUUUAUUUAUUCUUAGAUAAUUGGUAGUAUACACAAAAUCCUUAUGGUCAUGUCUAUAUAAUAAAGAUAUUUUAAAUGCCAUAAGCUCCAAUACAAUAUUGUUAAUUUCCAUUGUGUGAAUGAUCAACUUUGCAAGGAGUCUAAUUAUAAAAAGUUGGAGUUGGUGCUAAAUGUACGUGCUUAAACUGAAAUUAUUAGUAAAUUCAUGAUACAUAUUCCCAUAUUUUGUGUAAAAUGAUGAAAAUAGAAAAGGUUCCCUCUACUGAGGUUGUUUACCCACAACACAACCAUGCUGUAGAUUUUCUUCUGAGGAAUAUGGAAAUGCAUUAACAUGAUGAAUGUUUUGUAAAUGUACUAAAUAGCUUUUGUAUUUUCAGAAAGUCCUUGUUCAUUACUUAAAUUAUCAAUAUGCAAGGGAAAAAAAACAGUACUCGUCGUUUACUUCACAUGCACAUUCCUAAAUUACCAGCCUGCCUUGUAAGAAUCGUUUCUACUGCAUGAAUAUAUAACUGAAAGCUAGGUGGAAGACAGCACAGGGCUUUGGGCUUGCAAGCAAGUCUCUACAUCCCAUAACUCAUGUGGAUUUUUAGUAUUUUGGAGGUUUGGAAGACAUGAUCCAAGAAUGAAUGUAAAAUGAUAAAGGGGAUAUAAUUUGUGUACUGAUAAUAAAAAAUAUAUAUUUGUA